AUUGAACGCUGGCGGCAGGCUUAACACAUGCAAGUCGAGCGAGCGGCGGACGGGUGAGUAAUGACUGGGAAACUGCCUGAUGGAGGGGGAUAACUACUGGAAACGGUAGCUAAUACCGCUCACCAUCAGCUGUGCCAAGUUGGGAUUAUCUAGGAGGUGGGGUAAGGGCUCCCCUGGGCGACGAUCCCUAGCUGGUCUGAGAGGAUGACCAGCCACACUGGAACUGAGACACGGUCCAGACUCCUACGGGAGGCAGCAGUGGGGAAUAUUGCACAAUGGGCGCAAGCCUGAUGCAGCCAUGCCGCGUGUGUGAAGAAGGCCUUCGGGUUGUAAAGCACUUUCAGCGAGGAGGCGUUACUCGCAGAAGAAGCACCGGCUAACUCCGUGCCAGCAGCCGCGGUAAUUC
rnacentral:rRNA from 1 species